CAAGGCAUAGCUUAACAUAAAGCACCUGGCUUACACCCAGGAGACCUCAAUACCACCUGAUUGCCUUGA
rnacentral:tRNA from 1 species